GAAACCGUUCAGGGGUAAACCUGAGAAACCCAAAAGAUCGAAUGGGGAGAUUCAUCGUCAACGAAGCUGGCUCCCGUUGGUGCGCGAUACCCCGAUUGGGCCCUCGUGGUUCCAAGGCGAGAGGGUACACCACCUUCGGCGAACGUUCCGGCGACGUAGUCGUGCACUUCUCCCUUAGUAGAACGUCGCGACCCGUUGUGUGUCGGUCUACGGCCCGAGCUUGUUGCCUGUCGCGUCGCCCUCGCGCGCACGCGUCAGACGUUCGGUCGCCCGGCCGGCUGCACGACGGUACCCCGACGGUAUCGGGCCGCAACCAAUCCAUUUUCUCGAAUGUGUGUGCGUCGGGCCCGCCGCAAGCUCGGACAGUUUUACCCGGAGGGUACGGACCUAGUGCCGGCCCCGGGCCUGUCCAGCUGUUGGCAGGCGGUGCCCUUGGACUGGCCAAGCUUUGAAUUACCGGUCGGCGACGCUACUGCUUUGGGUACUCUCAGGACCCGUCUUGAAACACGGACCAAGGAGUCUAACAUGUGCGCGAGUCAUUGGGAUUUUGUAAACCUAAAGGCGGAAUGAAAGUGAAGGUUCGUCUUCUUUUAGAAGGUCGACCGAGGGAGGAUGGGCCGCGUUACGAUACGGCCCCGCACUCCCGGGGCGUCUCGUUCUCAUUGCGAGAAGAGGCGCACCUAGAGCGUACACGUUGGGACCCGAAAGAUGGUGAACUAUGCCUGGUCAGGACGAAGUCAGGGGAAACCCUGAUGGAGGUCCGUAGCGAUUCUGACGUGCAAAUCGAUCGUCGGAACUGGGUAUAGGGGCGAAAGACUAAUCGAACCAUCUAGUAGCUGGUUCCCUCCGAAGUUUCCCUCAGGAUAGCUGGCACUCGAUCGUUCCUCCGUGAACGCGUGCGAGUCUCAUCUGGUAAAGCGAAUGAUUAGAGGCCUUGGGGCCGAAACGACCUCAACCUAUUCUCAAACUUUAAAUGGGUGAGAUCUCUGGCUUGCUUGGAUCAUGAAGCCACGAGAUUUUUUGGAUCAGAGUGCCAAGUGGGCCAAUUUUGGUAAGCAGAACUGGCGCUGUGGGAUGAACCAAACGCAGAGUUAAGGCGCCUAAGUCGACGCUUAUGGGAUACCAUGAAAGGCGUUGGUUGCUUAAGACAGCAGGACGGUGGCCAUGGAAGUCGGAA
rnacentral:rRNA from 1 species